UGUGCUAAGCGGGGAGCUAGCGGUGCCCUGUUAUCCGCAAUCCGCUACAGCGGAGCUGAAUGCUAAUUGAGGCUUUUCGUAUUGAGGGCCGCCGGGGACAAGUGUUGACGAUACCAAGGUCUUGUGCAAGCGUGCACUGUGAACCAUGUCAGGGCUUGACCGCAGCAGCAUUAAGCAGAUCGUAUGUUGUGCCACGAGGUAGCUUUGGAGGAGAUAACUAUCCCUGUACCGCCUCGAUACGCACUGUCGGGAUUAGAUGCA
rnacentral:SRP_RNA from 1 species